UAAGGAAUAUUGGACAAUGGGCGAAAGCCUGAUCCAGCCAUUCCGCGUGUAGGAUGACGGCCCUCUGGGUUGUAAACUACUUUUAUUUGGGAAGAAACCCUGGGAUUUAUCCCGGGCUGACGGUACCAAAAGAAUAAGCACCGGCUAAUUCCGUGCCAGCAGCCGCGGUAAUACGGAAGGUGCAAGCGUUAUCCGGAAUCACUGGGUUUAAAGGGUGCGUAGGCGGUUGCGUAAGUCAGAAGUGAAAGCUCACAGCUUAACUGUGGAAUUGCUUUUGAUACUGCGCGACUAGAAUUUAGGUUGAGGUUGGCGGAAUGUGACAUGUAGCGGUGAAAUGCAUAGAUAUGUCAUAGAACRCSAAUUGCGAAGGCAGCUGACUGGACCUAUAUU
rnacentral:rRNA from 1 species